UGAAAUUAUACAUUUUGUUUAUCUUACUGCUGCCGCUGGGUGUCUGGCUGGAGCAGAGUCCUGUAACCAAAAUGGCAUGCAUGGAGCGUUGCAUGUUGAACUGGCAGAAUGAGGCGUUCAAUACCCAAGCACUGCUGGCCAUGGACCAGGAUCAGCCAGAUUCCGCGUAAAUCCUGCAGCUGGAUGUGCAGCAACUGUCGGAGUGUCGCCUAAAUGUACACAAAUUUGAUUGCACGUUAAAGUGUAUGUUUGAAAAGUUUACAUUGCCCCUGAAAUGUACACGGAAUGGCGAUCUAAAGCGAUCUAAGGGCUAGUAUAAAAUUGAUAGCAUACUUUUAUGGGCGUAAAUAUAAUUGUCAAGUUCGCUGUGAAAA